rnacentral:rRNA from 1 species
AUGCACGCUGGCGGCGUGCCUCAUCCCUGCCAGUCGAGCGAACAGACGAGGAGCUUGCUCCUCUGACGUUAGCGGCGGACGGGUGAGUAACACGUGGAUAACCUACCUAUAAGACUGGGAUAACUUCGGGAAACCGGAGCUAAUACCGGAUAAUAUAUUGAACCGCAUGGUUCAAUAGUGAAAGACGGUUUUGCUGUCACUUAUAGUUGGAUCCGCGCCGCAUUAGCUAGUUGGUAAGGUAACGGCUUACCAAGGCAACGAUGCGUAGCCGACCUGAGAGGGUGAUCGGCCACACUGGAACUGAGACACGGUCCAGACUCCUACGGGAGGCAGCAGUAGGGAAUCUUCCGCAAUGGGCGAAAGCUUGACGGAGCAACGCCGCGUGAGUGAUGAAGGUCUUCGGAUCGUAAAACUCUGUUAUUAGGGAAGAACAAAUGUGUAAGUAACUAUGCACGUCUUGACGGUACCUAAUCAGAAAGCCACGGCUAACUACGUG